AAACCAGCACCUCAAGUGGUCAGGAUGAUUAUUGGGCCUAAAGCAUCCGUAGCCGGCUCUGUAAGUUUUCGGUUAAAUCUGUACGCUCAACGUACAGGCUGCCGGAAAUACUGCAGGGCUAGGGAGUGGGAGAGGUAGACGGUACUCGGGAGGAAGGGGUAAAAUCCUUUGAUCUCUCGAUGACCACCUGUGGCGAAGGCGGUCUACCAGAACACGUCCGACGGUGAGGGAUGAAAGCUGGGGGAGCAAACCGGAUUAGAUACCCGGGUAGUCC
rnacentral:rRNA from 1 species